GUGAGUCAUCGAAUCUUUGAACGCAUAUUGCGCUCUUUGGUAUUCCGAAGAGCAUGCUUGUUUGAGUAUCAGUAAACACCUCAAAGCUUUUGGAUUUUUUUUAAAAGUUUUGGACUUGAGCAAUCCCAACACCAAUCUUUUUCAGAUCGGCGGCGGGUUGCUUGAAAUGCAGGUGCAGCUGGACAUUCUCCUGAGCUAAAAGCAUAUUCAUUUAGUCCCGUCAAACGGAUUAUUACUUUUGCUGCAGCUAACAUAAAGGGAGUUUGACCGCAUUGGCUGACUGAUGCAGGAUUUUACAAGGGUCGGCAACGAUUCUUGUUAAACUCGAUCUCAAAUCAAGUAAGACUACCCGCUGAACUUAAGCAUAUCAAUAAGCGGAGGA
rnacentral:misc_RNA from 1 species